rnacentral:rRNA from 1 species
UACGUAGGGUGCAAGCGUUGUCCGGAAUUAUUGGGCGUAAAGAGCUCGUAGGCGGUUUGUCGCGUCUGCUGUGAAAACUCAGGGCUUAACCCUGAGCCUGCAGUGGGUACGGGCAGACUAGAGUGUGGUAAGGGGAGAUCGGAAUUCCUGGUGUAGCGGUGGAAUGCGCAGAUAUCAGGAGGAACACCCGUGGCGAAGGCGGUGUGCUGGGUUGCAACUGACGCUGAGGAGCGAAAGCGUGGGGAGCAAACAGG